rnacentral:rRNA from 1 species
AUUGAACGCUGGCGGCAGGCCUAACACAUGCAAGUCGAGCGGAAGAACGGUGCUUGCUUCUGGAUCCAGAGGCGGACGGGUGAGUAAUGCCUAGGAAUCUGCCUGGUAGUGGGUGAUAAUGUCUGGAAACAGGCGCUAAUAACGCCUACGUCCUGCGGGUGCAAGUGGGGGAGCUUUGGAACUUACGCUAUCAUAUGAGCCUAGGUCGGAUUAGCUAGUUGGUAGGGUAAAGGCCUACUUAGGCGACGAUCCGUAACUGGUCUGAGAGGAUGAUCGGUCACACUGGAACUGAGACACGGUCCAGACUCCUACGGGAGGCAGCAGUGGGGAAUAUUAGGCAAUGGGCGAAAGCCUGAUCCAGCCAUGCCGCGUGUGUUAAGAAGGUCUUCGGAUUGUAAAGCACUUUAAGUUGGGAGGAAGGGCAGUAAGUUAAUACCUUGCUUUUUUGACGGUACCGACAGAAUAAGCACCGGCUAACUUCGUG